GCGGCGGGCCGCCAUCUUGGAUCCUUUGUUCACCCAGUGGUGUUUGGUCGUCGAGCGCGUGGAACUAAAAUCGGCUACUCGACGGCGCGAACACCGCUGGGCUUCCAGGCCGUUCGGGAGCUCCGGUCUUUCAAUAUUGUGUUUCCCCAUCAGUGUUCGGUACUUUCAGGAGAACAUGAUGUGAAAGUGUAUUUCGUGCAGCGUUCGGUUAUUUAUGCUGG